UUAGCUGGUCUGAGAGGAUGACCAGCCACACUGGAACUGAGACACGGUCCAGACUCCUACGGGAGGCAGCAGUGGGGAAUAUUGGACAAUGGGGGCAACCCUGAUCCAGCAAUGCCGCGUGUGUGAAGAAGGCCUGAGGGUUGUAAAGCACUUUCAGUGGGGAGGAGGUUUGCCAGGUUAAGAGCUAGGUAAAUGGACGUUACCCACAGAAGAAGCACCGGCUAACUCCGUGCCAGCAGCCGCGGUAAUACGGAGGGUGCGAGCGUUAAUCGGAAUUACUGGGCGUAAAGGGUGCGUAGGUGGUUAAUUAAGUUAUCUGUGAAAUCCCCGGGCUCAACCUGGGCAGGUCAGAUAAUACUGGUUAACUCGAGUAUGG
rnacentral:rRNA from 1 species